AACGCACAUUGCGCCCCCUGGCAUUCCGGGGGGCAUGCCUGUCCGAGCGUCAUUGCUGCUCAUCAGGCCCGGCUUGUGUGUUGGGUCGUCGUCCCCCCCGGGGGACGGGCCCGAAAGGCAGCGGCGGCACCGUGUCCGGUCCUCGAGCGUAUGGGGCUUUGUCACCCGCUCGACUAGGGCCGGCCGGGGGCCAGCGGACGUGUGCAACCAUUUUUCUUCAGAUUGGCCUCGGAGCAGGUAGGGAUACCCGCUGAACUU
rnacentral:misc_RNA from 1 species